rnacentral:rRNA from 1 species
GACGAACGCUGGCGGCGUGCUUAACACAUGCAAGUCGAACGGAAAGGCCCUGCUCUUGUGGGGUGCUCGAGUGGCGAACGGGUGAGUAACACGUGAGUAACCUGCCCUUGACUUUGGGAUAACUUCAGGAAACUGGGGCUAAUACCGGAUAGGAGCUCCUGCUGCAUGGUGGGCGUUGGAAAGUUCCGGCGGUUGGGGAUGGACUCGCGGCUUAUCAGCUUGUUUGUGGGGUAGUGGCUUACCAAGGCUUUGACGGGUAGCCGGCCUGAGAGGGUGACCGGCCACAUUGGGACUGAGAUACGGCCCAGACUCCUACGGGAGGCAGCAGUGGAGAAUAUUGCACAAUGGGCGGAAGCGUGAUGCAGCAACGCCGCGUGCGGGAUGACGGCCUUCGGGUUGUAAACCGCUUUCGACUGUGACGAAGUGUGAGUGACGGUAAUGGGUAAAGAAGCACCGGCUAACUACGUG